AUUGAACGCUGGCGGCAUGCUUUACACAUGCAAGUCGAACGGUAACAGGCCGCAAGGUGCUGACGAGUGGCGAACGGGUGAGUAAUGCAUCGGAACGUACCCAGUCGUGGGGGAUAACGCAGCGAAAGCUGUGCUAAUACCGCAUACGAUCUAUGGAUGAAAGCGGGGGACCGUAAGGCCUCGCGCGAUUGGAGCGGCCGAAGUCAGAUUAGGUAGUUGGUGGGGUAAAGGCCCACCAAGCCAACGAUCUGUAGCUGGUCUGAGAGGGCGACCAGCCACACUGGGACUGAGACACGGCCCAGACUCCUACGGGAGGCAGCAGUGGGGAAUUUUGGACAAUGGGCGCAAGCCUGAUCCAGCAAUGCCGCGUGCAGGAAGAAGGCCUUCGGGUUGUAAACUGCUUUUGUACGGAACGAAACGGUCUGGGUUAAUACCCUGGGCUAAUGACGGUACCGUAAGAAUAAGCACCGGCUAACUACGUGCCAGCCGCCGCUGUAAAAC
rnacentral:rRNA from 1 species